rnacentral:rRNA from 1 species
CCUACGGGAGGCAGCAGUAGGGAAUUUUGCGCAAUGGGCGAAAGCCUGACGCAGCAACGCCGCGUGAGGGAUGAAUGUCUUCGGAUUGUAAACCUCUGUUGAGUGGGGAAAAAAAGCCUUUUAUAGGAAUUGAUGGUACCACUUGAGGAAGCACCGGCUAACUACGUGCCAGCAGCCGCGGUAAU